GACGAACGCUGGCGGCGUGCUUAACACAUGCAAGUCGAACGAUGAAGCCGGAGCUUGCUCUGGUGAAUUAGUGGCGAACGGGUGAGUAACACGUGAGUAACCUGCCCUUGACUCUGGGAUAACUGCGGGAAACUGUAGCUAAUACCCGAUACGACCCUCGGAGGCAUCUCCUGGGGGUGGAAAGAAUUUCGGUCAAGGAUGGACUCGCGGCCUAUCAGCUAGUUGGUGAGGUAAAGGCUCACCAAGGCGACGACGGGUAGCCGGCCUGAGAGGGUGGCCGGCCAGACUGGGACUGAGCCACAGCCCGGACUCCUCCGGGAGGCAGUAGUGGGGAAUAUUGCACAAUGGGCGCAAGCCCGAUGCAGCAGGGCCGCGUGAGGGAUGACGGCCUUCGGGUUGUAACAAGUUUUAGCAGGGAAGAAGCGAAAGUGACGGUACCUGCAGAAAAAGCGCCGGCUAACUACGUGGCAGCCGCCGCGGUAA
rnacentral:rRNA from 1 species